ACAAAAAAAAAAAAAAAAGAAUGAUUUUCAAAUUCCUACCAGUUUCCUUGGUGAGUUUCCUUGUGGGGAGCUGGCAGAGAGCAUCAAAAAUCUUCCUUCUCCUUCUCCUUCUCCUUCUCUUUCUCCUUCCCUUCCCAGAAUUUCUGCUGGCUUCCCAUUUACUUUACUUAUGGGAAACUUGCAGGGAAGAAGUCUAUGGAGAAGCCAGCAGGAAGUUGCAAGUCCAGCAGGCAAAGAUACUAUAUGGACAGGCAAGGAAGAUGUAUUAUAAACGUGAUGCAGAAAAUACUGGCGAGGAUAAAGAAGAAUGUUAAUGGUCAUCAUAAGUUUCCAUUGCCAUCUGUUCACCCACACACCAAAGUAGUUCUGAGUUGAGAAUGUGUGAAGAAAUGAGUUAUGGCAAAGGCAAGUUUAAUUCCCUGUGAUCUUCCAAGUUCCAUCAGAGUUUAUUUGCCAAGAAGGAUGGAGUUGUCAUUCCUCUAAUUUUAAUAGAGUAAUACUUCAUGUUGAA